UACGUAGGGUGCAAGCGUUGUCCGGAAUUAUUGGGCGUAAAGAGCUCGUAGGCGGUUUGUCGCGUCUGCUGUGAAAACUCGGGGCUUAACUCCGGGCCUGCAGUGGGUACGGGCAGACUAGAGUGCGGUAGGGGAGACUGGAAUUCCUGGUGUAGCGGUGAAAUGCGCAGAUAUCAGGAAGAACACCAACGGCGAAGGCAGCUCGCUAGGACGGUACUGACGCUGAGACGCGAAAGCGUGGGGAGCGAACAGG
rnacentral:rRNA from 1 species